GAGAAGAACGUAGCGAAAUGCGAUACUUGGUGUGAAUUGCAGAAUCCCGUGAACCAUCGAGUCUUUGAACGCAAGUUGCGCCCGAAGCCAUUAGGCCGAGGGCACGCCUGCCUGGGCGUCACACGUCGUUGCCCCCCCAUCUACUCCUUCGGGAUUGCGGGGGGCGGAUGAUGUCCUCCCGUGCGCCUCGUCGCGCGGUUGGCAUAAAUGCCAAGUCCUCGGCGACGCACGCCACGACAAUCGGUGGUUGCGAAACCUCGGUUGCCCGUCGUGUGCGGUCGUCGCGCAUCGAGGGCUCGAAAAAAUUGCCGGGCUCCGGCUCGGGUUUCAACGCGACCCCAGGUCAGGCGGGGUUACCCGCUGAAUUUAAGCAUAUCAAUAAGCGGAGGA
rnacentral:misc_RNA from 1 species